AAAACAGCAGGAGUUUUUGUGAGUGGUCCUGCUGAGAACAAUGACACUGGAGCGCACGUGCACGAGACGACUCCAUUUUUUUCUUUCAGUGUUUGAACAAAUACAACGUCGCCCGGUUGGAAUAUUAUCGCUAUUUUACGAGCAAAAUAGCAUAAAAAUGUAUUUUAAACAGCGUCUGACAUGCUUCGAAGUACGGUAAUGGAAUAUAUGGAAUUUUUUUGUCACGAAAUGCACCGGCGCGUCACCCUUCGGAUAGUGACUUGAAUGCAUGAACAAAACGGCGCUAUUUGGAUAUAACUAUGGAUUAUUUUGAACCAAAACAACAUUUGUUGUUGAAGUAGAAGUCCUGGGAGUGCAUUCUGACGAAGAACAGCAAAGAUGGUAGCGGGGUGAAAAGGCCAUGGCUCGGGUGACGAGGUCCUUGAUGAUCUUUGGGGGCCAAGCCUAAUUUCCGUUACAACUUCGUCUCCCCUACCACUCUGCUACUACCGGCGUUGGAGGUUUAUGUGCUACAUUAGUAAGACUGGUUCUACUCAUGACAUCGAGAGGCUAUGAUUUUGACUUCAAACCCCUGUGCACAAGGAAAUACCAUACCUGGAAAAACCAGUUGGGGAUUCCUCCCUUACAAGACCAUACCUGGAAAAACCAGUUGGGGAUUCCUCCCUUACAAGACCAUACCUGGAAAAACCAGUUGGGGAUUCCUCCCUUACAAGACCAUACCUGGAAAAACCAGUU
rnacentral:lncRNA from 1 species